UACAGAGGUCCCGAGCGUUGUUCGGAUUCAUUGGGCGUAAAGGGUGCGUAGGCGGCGGGGCAAGUCUGAUGUGAAAUCCCGGGGCUCAACCCCGGAACUGCAUUGGAUACUGCCUUGCUUGAGUACUGGAGAGGAGACUGGAAUUCAUGGUGUAGCAGUGAAAUGCGUAGAGAUCAUGAGGAAGACCAGUGGCGAAGGCGGGUCUCUGGACAGUUCCUGACACUGAGGCACGAAGGCCAGGGGAGCAAACGGG
rnacentral:rRNA from 1 species